UACGAAGGGGGCUAGCGUUGUUCGGAUUUACUGGGCGUAAAGCGCACGUAGGCGGAUCGUUAAGUCGGGGGUGAAAUCCUGGAGCUCAACUCCAGAACUGCCUUCGAUACUGGCGAUCUUAAGUCCGGAAGAGGUGAGUGGAACUCCUAGUGUAGAGGUGGAAUUCGUAGAUAUUAGGAAGAACACCAGUGGCGAAGGCGGCUCACUGGUCCGGUACUGACGCUGAGGUGCGAAAGCGUGGGGAGCAAACAGG
rnacentral:rRNA from 1 species